AAAACAGUAGCUUAAACAAAGCAUCUUGCUUACACCAAGAACAUGUCCAUAAUAGGACCAUUUUGAAUUAG
rnacentral:tRNA from 1 species